GAAUGCCAAAGGCAUUUUCAACCACCAUCCUUGCUCCUAAAGGUCUCUAGUCCAUUGAUCCAGAAUCCUUGGGCCACCACCUUCCAAGUAUUUUGUGUUGGGCUGGGUAGAAACCUCUGCAUCAUCACCUUUUCAAUGGCUGCACACACCAUAUGAACUGAGUUCAUGACAGUUGUGUGCCCUAGGCAAUAGCUGGAUGCUAAGCUGAACAUUGACUCUCCAGAAGCCAAGUACAUAAAGUAACUUGACCCUACAAACAGUUAAUAUGGAAGACCGUAAGUUCUGCUUCCCCACUGUCAUCAUUGGGUACAGAUAAAAGAUCCAGUACCCCUGGGCUUUCCUUACAGAGGUCCCCCAUCACUUGCUGUACCCACAACCUCAGAUGAGAGUGAAAGGCCCUCUAGGUCCCGUAGCGCCUCAAGAAAAAAGGAGGAACCAGAGACCACAGACCACAGAUAUUGUGGAGUGGCUGAUGUCUUUUUUUCAAGUGCCUUUUUCCAAACCACACAUAUCAGAUGCUGAACUAGAUGAAGCUUACCACUUUGCUCUCAGCCUUGUGCCAAUGUUGCACAGAUUGGAUAAGGACAGGAGGCAAAAAGCCAAAAUAGAGAUCUUGAACACAUUACACAAACUAGAAAAA